AUUGAACGCUGGCGGCAGGCCUAACACAUGCAAGUCGAGCGAGCGGCGGACGGGUGAGUAAUGUCUGGGAAACUGCCUGAUGGAGGGGGAUAACUACUGGAAACGGUAGCUAAUACCGCAUACCAUCAGAUGUGCCCAGAUGGGAUUAGCUAGUAGGUGGGGUAACGGCUCACCUAGGCGACGAUCCCUAGCUGGUCUGAGAGGAUGACCAGCACCACGGGAACUUAGACCCGUUCCAGACGCCUCCGGGAGGCAGCAUUGGGGAAUAUUGCACAAUGGGAGCAAUCCUGAUGCAGCCAUGCCGCGUGUGUGACGAAGGCCUUCGGGUUGUAAAGCACUUUCAGCGGUGAGGCCUUCCCCGCAGAAGAAGCACCGGCGAACUCCGUGCCAGCCGCCGCGGUAAUAC
rnacentral:rRNA from 1 species